rnacentral:rRNA from 1 species
GAUGAACGCUGGCGGCGUGCCUAAUACAUGCAAGUCGAGCGAACAGAUAAGGAGCUUGCUCCUUUGACGUUAGCGGCGGACGGGUGAGUAACACGUGGGUAACCUACCUAUAAGACUGGGAUAACUUCGGGAAACCGGAGCUAAUACCGGAUAACAUUUGGAACCGCAUGGUUCUAAAGUGAAAGAUGGUUUUGCUAUCACUUAUAGAUGGACCCGCGCCGUAUUAGCUAGUUGGUAAGGUAACGGCUUACCAAGGCAACGAUACGUAGCCGACCUGAGAGGGUGAUCGGCCACACUGGAACUGAGCCACGGUCCAGACUCCUACGGGAGGCAGCAGUAGGGAAUCUUCCGCAAUGGGCGAAAGCAUGACGGAGCAACGCCGCGUGAGUGAUGAAGGGUUUCGGCUCGUAAAACUCUGUUAUUAGGGAAGAACAAAUGUGUAAGUAACUGUGCACGUCUUGACGGUACCUAAUCAGAAAGCCACGGCUAACUACGUG